rnacentral:lncRNA from 1 species
CACUCAAGUAUCAAGUUUUAAACUCAAUUCAUAUUUUAGAUAUGAUCUAAAUAUAAUAUAGAUAAGAUCUAUGUUUGCUGAAUUUUAGAUUUUAGAUUCACAUACAUGCAUAUUAGUUCAUGUCAUAGAUCCUAUAUGGUAGUUUUAGAUUUGAUCUAUGCAUAUAUUGUAGAUUAAAUUAUUUAAUCUAUGUAUGUUUCACUAUAAAAUUUUAAAAAUGCAUAUACAAAAUCAUCA